GGUCGCUUAGCUCAGUUGGUUAGAGCGUGGUGCUAAUAGCUGCUUUUGAGUUGCCUUGAUACGCCAAGGUCGCGAGUUCGACCCUCGUAGUGACCA